rnacentral:rRNA from 1 species
GACGAACGCUGGCGGCGUGCCUAAUACGUGCAAGUCGAGCGGACAGAAGGGAGCUUGCUCCCGGAAGUUAGCGGCGGACGGGUGAGUAACACGUGGGCAACCUACCCUGUAGAUCGGGAUAACAUCGAGAAAUCGGUGCUAAUACCGGAUAAUCAUUUGAAGUGCAUGCUUCGAAUGUAAAAGAUGGCUCCGGCUAUCACUACGGGAUGGGCCCGCGGCGCAUUAGCUAGUUGGUAAGGUAAUGGCUUACCAAGGCAACGAUGCGUAGCCGACCUGAGAGGGUGAUCGGCCAUACUGGGACUGAGACACGGCCCAGACUCCUACGGGAGGCAGCAGUAGGGAAUCUUCCGCAAUGGACGAAAGUCUGACGGAGCAACGCCGCGUGAGUGAUGAAGGUUUUCGGAUCGUAAAGCUCUGUUGUUAGGGAAGAACAAGUGCCGUUUGAAUAAGGCGGCACCUUGACGGUACCUAACCAGAAAGCCACGGCUAACUACGUGCCAGCCGCCGCAGUAAUAC